rnacentral:rRNA from 1 species
GACAGAGGUGCCAAGCGUUUAGGCGGAAUCACUGGGCUUAAAGCGUGUGUAGGCGGAUGCCUAAGUACCUUGUGAAAUCCCCCGGCUCAACCGGGGAACGGCUGGGUAUACUGGGUGUCUUGGAUCAUCUAGGGGCUGCCGGAACAAAUGGUGGAGCGGUGAAAUGCGUAGAUAUCAUUUGGAACGCCAACGGCGAAAGCAGGCAGCUGGGGAUGCACCGACGCUGAGACACGAAAGCCAGGGGAGCGAACGGG